AUUGAACGCUGGCGGCAUGCCUAACACAUGCAAGUCGCACGCGAAAGGGGGCAACCCUGAGUAGAGUGGCGGACGGGUGAGUAACGCGUAGGAAUCUACCUGGUAGUGGGGGACAACCCAGUGAAAACCGGGCUAAUACCGCAUACGAUCCACGGAUGAAAGCAGGGGACCGCAAGGCCUUGCGCUAUCAGAUGAGCCUGCGUCGGAUUAGCUAGUUGGUGGGGUAAAGGCCCACCAAGGCGACGAUCCGUAGCUGGUUUGAGAGAACGACCAGCCACACUGGGACUGAGACACGGCCCAGACCCCUACGGGAGGCAGCAGUGGGGAAUAUUGGACAAUGGGGGCAACCCUGAUCCAGCAAUGCCGCGUGUGUGAAGAAGGCCUUCGGGUUGUAAAGCACUUUCGGUGGGGACAAACAAGGUGGAGCUAACAUCUCCGCCUCUGAUGGUACCCAAAGAAGAAGCACCGGCUAACUCUGUACCAGCCGCCGCCGUAA
rnacentral:rRNA from 1 species